CAGUAGCCGCGGGAAUACGAAGGGGGCUAGCGUUGUUUGGAAUUACUGGGCGUAAAGCGCACGUAGGCGGACAUUUAAGUCAGGGGUGAAAUCCCGGGGCUCAACCCCGGAACUGCCUUUGAUACUGGGUGUCUAGAGUAUGGAAGAGGUGAGUGGAAUUCCGAGUGUAGAGGUGAAAUUCGUAGAUAUUCGGAGGAACACCAGUGGCGAAGGCGGCUCACUGGUCCAUUACUGACGCUGAGGUGCGAAAGCGUGGGGAGCAAACAGGAUUAGAUACCCGCGUAGUCCCUGUCUCUUAUAC
rnacentral:rRNA from 1 species